GGGAGUGAUUAUACCGGCACUAAUGUAUUGGAUCCUAUUAGAAUUCCGCAUUUAAGUAUGCUUGGGUAAGAGUAAUACUUAGAUGGUUAACUCUUGGGAAGUCCUCGUGUUGCAUCGC
rfam:Gossypium hirsutum cultivar TM-1 chromosome 14, whole genome shotgun sequence